rnacentral:rRNA from 1 species
AUUGAACGCUGGCGGCAUGCCUUACACAUGCAAGUCGAACGGCAGCGGACCUUCGGGUGCCGGCGAGUGGCGAACGGGUGAGUAAUGCAUCGGAACGUACCUUUCAGUGGGGGAUAACGUAGCGAAAGUUACGCUAAUACCGCAUAUUCUGUGAGCAGGAAAGCAGGGGAUCGCAAGACCUUGCGCGGAUUGAGCGGCCGAUGUCAGAUUAGCUAGUUGGUGAGGUAAAGGCUCACCAAGGCGAAGAUCUGUAGCGGGUCUGAGAGGAUGAUCCGCCACACUGGAACUGAGACACGGUCCAGACUCCUACGGGAGGCAGCAGUGGGGAAUUUUGGACAAUGGGGGCAACCCUGAUCCAGCCAUGCCGCGUGAGUGAAGAAGGCCUUCGGGUUGUAAAGCUCUUUCGGCCGGGAAGAAAUCGCACGGGCUAAUACCCUGUGUGGAUGACGGUACCGGAAUAAGAAGCACCGGCUAACUACGUGCCAGCCGCCGCCGUAAGAC